CGUAUACAUCAGAAAGCUCAUACAGUUCUUUGAGAAUUUCCAACUUCAAAAGGCACGCCUAGAACUGGAGUGUUUCUGAUUAAUUGUAUAGACCUUAGCCAAAGCUGGUGAAAGAAGAAGGUGGAAGAACAAAUUAUGAACCUACACCAAUCCUAGGGCAUAAUCUGUAUCAUGUGGAAUUGUCGAGACCAGUAUCAAGAUUUCCUGCUCUGAGAAUGAAACAUGGAGCUAUUUAAUGAAGACCAGUCAGUACAAUGGAGGACCAAUGGCAGUCCAACUCAGUGGGACCUUCUGUGCACCAAAAUUGACCUUUGGUUUUAUAGACCUAGGGGCCCAAUUCUUCUACCUUGAGCACAGCCUUCCAAAGUCCCAAUCAAGGUGCCUUUCAAUGGAACUAAAGUUCUCAACUGAAAUCCUUCCAACUCACUAGCUGUGCUGCUAAAAUGACAAAUUUUGUUCCCUGAAACAAGUUUACGGCAGUAAAAAAAAAUGAAAAAGCCAUAUGGACAUAUGAAGCAAGAGUAUCUUCUGAGGAGUAAAUCUACACGAUACAUCACCUUAAGAAUGGCAGCACAAAGAAAUACUGCUACUGAGUGUAGCUGAGCCUUUCCACCUCGCCUGCUUGCCUGCUGCUGUCAAUCAUUCUGACAGGCCAACAACCCAGAGCUGCUUGCUGACUGUGGUGGUUCACUGGAGAUGCCACGAAGAGGGGAGAUAGAACCCGGUAAUGUUGACUUGGACAGAGAAUGGAAUAUACAUAUGUGUUUGAAAAGAAAAGCCACCAAAUGGUAACCUUAAAGAUAAGGGGUUGCCAAUGCACACUUACUGUUGGCAGCUGAGCAACAAGUUCUCCAGAUGCUUUUGAGAACAGGGGAGCAAGGUUUGUAUCACUGAAGAUCAUAUUAUAUACUCAAUUCUAGAACAAUCACCUGGCAAAAAUGUGUUUUCUCCAUUUACUGAGCAUUUUUACCUAUGCCAUAUACUCAGAGGUAGCAAUUGUA